AAUGACAGAGAUAAUUCAUUUUCAUUUAGAGGAAACGCUGCAAAAACAGCAGCAUGUUGAGCAAUGACAAAUAUGAUUUAUAAGAGCCAUUGUUCAACCAAAAACGCUAAGUCUUGGAAAAGAACGACUUAAUUUUGGUCAGAAUUGACUGAGACUGAUACCUUGGUUUGUUUGAGCAGACCUCGAGAACAAGGCUCGGGAUGUUCUGACUGAAUUGAAUUUAUCCAUUUCCUGUACUUCUUGUUGAGCUUGUACCUAUUCUGGAUGCACACUUGGAAUACCACCACUGAAACAAAGGGGAUUACCGAACAAAUUGACUCAGGCAUUAACUGUCUGUUUGUUUUAUCCUGUCACAUCAGCAUUUGAUUAUGGAAUCAGCGUGACGUUUAUAAGUGUUACCGAGGUUUCAGGAUACCAAUACCUGAGUCCUCGACAUUGUGUGACCAUUAUCAGAAAGACUUACCAAUUUCAAAGUGAAACCAAAAGGAAAUGAAAGAGGCUUUUACUCUAUAGAUUAAAAAAAAACUGGUUUCCUUUCUACAUGCACUUUGAUGAUAUCUACUUCUGAAAUCUGCUGUGGAAUUCUUGUUAUCAGAUUUAUUAAUCUCACUCUGAACACUUAAAAUUACUCUUUAUAAAUAUCUGUUCCACGGUAUGCAGUUAACAUACUAUUCACAAAGCCUCCAAGACAUGCUGCUGGGUCUAUGUGCUAAUGGUUUUUGAAGACAAUUAGUGACGUGUGAAUGUGUGUCGAUGAUUAAUAAAAUAUGGAUCAUCGAAAGGUAUCCUUGUCAUCUAUGAAGUUUGUUUUUAUGAUAUCAGUGUAUUGAUAUCAGCAUCACAUUUAUUUGUAUACCUAUAGCACCUUCUUCAACAACGCUACAGCUACCAGUCUUGCACAAAUCCUUGAUAUUGCAUUGUUUAUAUUUAUUUUGCGUAACCUUUGCAAACCAAACAGAUCGGUUCUUACACGUGUUUGCAAAUGUUUUUCUUAUUUUUUACAAAAACUUUAUAUUCUCUGGUAAUAAAUAUUUAACACAAUUUUAUUUUUUUAAGAAGUUUUUUUUCAAUGAGAAUAUAUUUCUAUCAGAAAAAUUGCUUGGUUUAUUUAUUAGUUUACGUCAUUAUUUGAU